GUGUGUAGGGAAGUGUGGUGACGUGUACUAUUUAAAGCUCCCUGGGUGGACGAUGGAGACAGAGUGAUGAGGUACUGUUACGUGUAGCAGCAGGUUGAUGGCGUGCAGCCCUCCCCUCCCAUCAAUGGGCUGUGCACGACGGUUGCGUCUGCCUACUACGAGGGGACGGGCGGGUGGUGGCGGAGGUGUGAGGCAGGGGAAGGGGAUGCAAACAGGUAAAUUAGCGGCUCGGAGGUGCCGUUGUAGCUGGACACCAUCUGACGCUACGCUAGCUCUGUCUCGCCAGUGGGACUGAGCCUGCGGCUCUGCCGCAGAGGAGUACGGGCUCGACGGCGGCCCCUACUGCUGGCAGUGACCGACACACCGCGCGCCUAGGACAAUGCCCGCCCGCUCGCCGCAGAAGGCGUGACGGCGAGGAGGCGAGGAGCGAAUCCGCCGCUGCAGGAGGGAAGAGCGGCGCUCCGCAUCUCAACANNNNNNNNNNNNNNNNNNNNNNNNNNNNNNNNNNNNNNNNNNNNNCUCUGUGCCCGGGGGGGACGUGCGGCCACUGUAUGCCUCUAGCUGCCGCACGCUGGGAGCCAGAUGCCAGCCCCGGUGCCGCGGCUUACUCUGUUUCCUCAGGAAAAUGCGUCGAUGCCCGCCACAUUGCCGGUGGGAGUGCUAGGGGAAGCGGCGGCGCGGAGCCCUGCGCUCAUUGUCUGCCUCAUACCGCUCCUCUGAGGAGCACGGAGCCCUCGGCGGCCGCUCAACCUUCCAGCGAGAAGCGUCGCAGCAGCCGCCAGCCCCUCGCGGAGAAGGCAAGCGUCUCCCCAUCUGCCUGCAGGAGGGGAUCCGUCUGCCCCCGGAACCGCCGCCACCCACCCGGGGGCUGGAGCCGACGUCUGCGGGUGCCUGGCGGGGCCCGCGGCUAUGAGAGCCCAGCCUGUGGGGGGUGUUCCCUAGGGUGCGGGCGGCCCUGCUCGGCCUGGCAGUUGCGAGCGGCCAGCGCAGCCACAGCAGAGCGGCAGGCGAGACGAGGCGCAGCGAGGAGCAUCCCGGAGACGCGGCGCCACCGGCCGCCAUGGGGUGUUUCCAAACCAAAGUCUUGUCCUUAA
ensembl:lncRNA